GAGGGUAUAGCUCAAGUGGUAGAGUGCAUGCUUAGCAUGCAUGAGGUCCUGAUUUCAAUCUCCAGUACCUCCU
rnacentral:tRNA from 1 species